AGGUCACUGCUAUUGGAGUUCGACUAAGCCAUGCAAGUCGAGAGAAUUAGAUUCUCGGCGUAAGGCUGAGUAACACGUGGAUAAUUUGCCCUAAGGUGGGGAAUAAUCUCGGGAAACUGAGGCUAAUGCCCCAUAGGUAAAGGAUACUGGAAUGUUCCUUUGCUCAAAGUUCCGACGCCUUAGGAUAAGUCCGCGGUAGAUUAGGCUGUUGGUAGGGUAAUGGCCUACCAAACCUAUGAUCUAUAGGGGCCGUGAGAGCGGGAGCCCCCAGAUGGGUACUGAGACAAGGACCCAGGCCCUACGGGGCGCAGCAGGCGCGAAAACUUCGCAAUGUACGAAAGUGUGACGAGGGAACUCCAAGUGCUUCAGCUUCGGCUGAAGCUUUUCUAGAAUGUAAAUAGUUCUAGGAAUAAGGGUCGGGUAAGACCGGUGCCAGCCGCCGCGGUAACACCGGCGACCCAAGUGGUGAUCGCGAUUAUUGGGCCUAAAGCGUCCGUAGCCGGGCAUGUAAGUUCUCAGGUAAAUCUGACGGCUUAACCGUUAGACUUCUGGGAAAACUGUAUGUCUUGAAGCUGGGAAGGGGCACGGGUACUUCAGGGGUAGAGGUGAAAUUUUCUGAUCCUUGGAGGACCACCUGUGGCGAAAGCGCGUGUCUGGAACAGACUUGACGGUGAGGGACGAAACCCUGGGUAGCGAACGGGAUUAGAUACCCCGGUAGUCCAGGGCGUAAACGAUGCUCGCUUGGUGUUACCUACUUCACGAAGGUAGGUAGUGCCGUAGCGGAGGUGUUUAGCGAGCCGCCUGGGAAGUAUGGUCGCAAGACUGAAACUUAAAGGAAUUGACGGGGGAGCACCACAAGGGGUGGAACCUGCGGUUCAAUUGGAUUCAACGCCGGAAAUCUCACCGGGGGUGACAGCAGUAUGAUAGACAGUCUGAAGGGCUUUCUUGACGCGCUGAGAGGUGGUGCAUGGCCGCCGUCAGCUCGUGCCGUGAGGUCUCCUGUUAAGUCAGGUAACGAGCGAGACCCAUACCUUUAGUUGCUAAUCGGGUGUCCGCACUCGAAGAACUCUGAAGGGACCGCUGGUGAUAAACCAGAGGAAGGAGUGGGCAACGGUAGGUCAGUAUGCCCCGAAUCUCCCGGGCUACACGCGGGUUACAAUGCGUAGGACAAAAGGUUGCGACGCCGAAAGGCGAAGCCAAUCCCUAAACCUACGCCCAGUUCAGAUCGAGGAUUGAAACUCAUCCUCGUGAAGCCGGAAUCCCCAGUAAUCGUGUGUCACUAUCGCACGGUGAAAACGUCCCUGCUCC
rnacentral:rRNA from 1 species